AGUCUAUUUAAAAAUUUUUCUUGGUCACAUUUCCUGCCUCUUCUCGUGUCUCAACAAUCUUUCAGGGUGUGCUGGACGUUGUGUAUAAAAGAACUCUACAGAAGUUUCACCAUUUCUUCUGCCCAGGUACUGGGGUGAGGGUGGAGUACCUCAUUACUUGAGGAGCAGAGCUGGUCAGGUGCAGGACUCCUUCCUGGUGGGGCUCUCCCUGAAUGCCUAGCAGGUCUCUGUCCCCUUAGCCCUUGGAUGAGAUCCACCUUGUCUCAUAUUAUGGUUUUUCUACAUAUAAUUGCAUCCACAGCUCUCUGAGAUCUUUUCAAAUAUAACUUUCCUAAUGAAUUUUGUUUUUUCUCUGUUUGCUGCAACAACACUGCACGAUGCUAUCUCGAGCUCCUCUUGGGAAGUCAAAGGCCUUUCCCUUCCCUUUCAGAACCUCGACAAGAAAGCACACCCAUGGAAUAACCAGCCAUCUCAGCAAGGACUGUCCUGUGACAUUAGAUGCUGCGGAGCCGAGAGGAAGCUGCCAGUGCCUGGGGAGGUCAGGCUUGCCCAGAAAACCACCGAGGGGCUAAGGCUGAGCUAGGCCACAUUCCAAGCAGUAUUCAGAAAGUCAGACACAAGCUUUGAUCCUAAAGACAAAUCUGGAGAAUGGGGCAAACAGACAGAAGAGACAGAGCAGGGUGGUUUGGAAGGCCUCAACCACAGACUCCCUUUCGUUCUAUGCUGGACCACAGCAUCCGACCACCAAGGGACUCUCUGCCCACUGAGGUCACCAUGCCUUCGCUCUGCUUGUGUGGUUUGCUGGAGUGCCCUUCUCCUGCAGUGGGCCAGCUCAUCCUCGAGCCUGCAGGCUCUUGCCAUUGUCACCAGACUGUCACAUGCCUCCCAAGUGCCGGGAGCUGAGGCUUUGCUCCCCGCUAACUCAGAGAGCAUGAGCUGGAUCCCCCCUCCUCCCCAGCCCUAGCCUGUACCCAAGGUGCAAGAAACAGAGAAAUGUGUUAUUUAGUAAAUUUGACUUUGGGGACUACAAAAAGACAGGGCAGAUUUUAAUGACAUGUUUGCUACAUCAGAUUACAGUUGGCCCUCUGUUCUGCAUCCAAGGAUUCAGUCCACUGUGGGCUGAAAAUAUUCAGGGGAAAAAAAGGUGUCAGUACUGAACAUGUAAAGACUUUUAUCUUGUCAUCAUUCCUUAAAGAAGACAGCAUAACCUCUACCUCAUAACGUUUUACAUUUUGUUAGGCGUUGUAAAGCAUCAGCAGUAUGUGCAUAGGUCAUAUGCAUCUGUGGACUUUGGUAUCCUUGGGAGUCUUGGGAAGGAGCCCCUGCAGAGAUGGAGAAUUAGCUUCCCCAGACCAGUCAUAACCACCUGGGCUCAAUGUGGGACUUGGGGACACAACAGUGCCAGCCCCCAUGUGCCUUAUCCCACAGGUGACCUAUAUCUUCCAGUGAAAACAAUGCACCCCCUUUUUCCCCAGGAACCCCUUGUCUUCCACCAGCAAACUGCUGUGAGGGCUGCAUCUGUGGGACGGGGAGAAAGGGCCUGACCUUCAGACCCAGGCAGGCCCAGCCUCACCAAGGCCAUCAGCAGAGUUGGCACCAGGGACAGAGCUGCAGUGGGGCCAGGGACUGGGUUUGUGGACUUUCAGCUCUGCUAAGCAGGAUGCAAUCGCUGGGUCUGACUGGUGUUGGCUUGGUAAAUAUUUGGAGAACACAACUCUCAGAAUUCCUAUAGAAAAACUGGCAGGGGCUCACAGCCACUGAGACUUGGACAGUGAUAUUAGUUGCAUUUGUCUCUUUAGUCCAGUGAUGUGGUUUGUGCCUGGAUCCUGCAGAGAGAACUACUCCUUGGGGAACAGUAUACACAAAGAGACCUCCCACACCUGCAGGGGGAGAACUGAUCAGCCACACUGGCUUUGGCAUAAGAAAUGCAGGCAGGAAUGAGCACAGUUUUACCAGGUGCCUGAGCCACAAGACAAAACUUCUGAGAGGUCGAGGUGACCCCUUCAGCCCAGUGGCAAGGCAAGGAUGGCUGCUAGCCAGACUUGAGAAACAAGGAUCCUGCUAGAGAAAGGGUGGAGAGAGACAGAGAGAGACAGAGAGACAGAGAGAGACAGAGAGACAGAGAGAGACACAGAGAAACAGAGACAGAGAGAAAACAGAGACAGACACAGAGACACAGAGGGAGAGAGAAACAGAGACCGAAACAGACAGAGGCAGACAGAGACACAGAGAGAGACACAGACACACAGACACACAGAGAGAAACAGAGAGAGAAACAUUUGACAUUUGUAAUCGAGCUGAGAGAGGGGGCUGCAUUAUUUAUGAAGCAGCUGAGCCCGGAGUUAACAAGGAAGCAGGAGGCCUUUGGAGGGCAAAGUGGUUUCAAAAGCAUCCAUAUUUCACUGAAACAAAACAAAACACCAACUAUGAUUUAGAGUGUGCUGAGGCUCAGAGCCGGAGAUGACGCCAGCACAGUCAGACAGCACUGGUGGGAGGACCGGGUGUAGGCAAGGCGGGCAGAGGGACGGAUUGCGGAGGCGGGAGGCAAAGGCUGCCCCUGCGCGCUGCAUGUGCCAGGGGACAUGGCAAGAGGGUGCGCAAGAGGGCAUGCACAUGCACACUUCCCAAGUGUGCAAUGUGUGCAAGAGUGUGUAUACACUUGGGCAGAGGACAGUGCCUUCUAGGGCUAAUGUGUAAAUUCUGUUUUCCAGGGUGACCUACUAUAAGAAUUUAAGCCAAAGUUCUUUUUGUUUAAUAGUUUUUAAUAAGGCAUAGUUUACAAUGUCUGUAGCUUCUCCAGGGUCAGUUUGAUGAGGUUUGACAGUUGUAGGUGCUUAUGUAACAAGCACUAAAAAGAAAAUACAGAACCCAUUCCUCGCCCCAGGAAGUACUUCCUGCCCCUGACUACUUUUUGACUUGUAUUAGUAUAGAUCAACUUUGCUUGUCCUAGAAAUUCACAGACAUGGCAUCACACAGUACAUACUUUUCUGUGUUUGACAUAAUGUUUCCCUGAAUGUGUUUGUUUUUGAGGUUCAGCCACAUUAUAAAUGUGGUGGAUGGUUCUUUGUACUGCUGAGUAAUAUUCCACUGAAUCAACACCACACAUUUUGCUUUUUGAUUCUAUUAAUAAACAUUUGGGUUGCUUCCAGUGUUUUAUGAGUAAGACUACUACAAAUAUUCUUAUAACAAGUCCCCAUGUAGUCAUAUGUUUUCAUCUCUUUGGGGUUGGUGGCUAAGAAUUUGCUGGGUCAUGGGGUAGAUGCACGGUUACCACUGUAAGAUUUUGCUAGAGAAGAAAAAGAUAUUGCCAACAAGUCUUAGUCCACAUCCCAUGUCCCCUAUUCACCAGUCACCGUUGCUGUACAUACUCGCCAGCUUCCAUUCCAUUGUAUUUUACCCCCUUAAGAAAUGGGAAACAGCAUUUAGUGUAACUUUAACUUGAAUGUUCCUGAUCUACAGAUAUUAAGAACCUUUUCCUGUGUGCAUUGAACAUUUGUGUAUAGUCUCUGUGAAAUGCCUGUUGUAUUCCUUUGCUUAUUUAGCAAAUUAUGCAGUUCACCUUUGUGUUGUUGUUGAUUUGUGGGCAUCCUUUACAAAUUCAAGACCCUCAAAGGAUAAGUGUUGAAAAGAAAAAUGACACUCCUGUCCCCUUUUACCCUCCUACCCUACCCUGUAUCAUAUCCCUUUAGUGGACGGGUUUAACAUAGUCUAUGAUCCACAUAGCUGAAAUGCUAAGUUCUAUUUAAUCAAACUCGUGAGCUUCUAUUUCCUGUGAAAACAGAAAACAAAACAAAUGAACAAAUAAAAACAAUUAAUUCAA